GUCUUGGUGGUGUAGUUGGUUAUCACGUUAGUCUCACACACUAAAGGUCCCCAGUUCGAACCUGGGCUUAGACA
rnacentral:tRNA from 1 species